GGGCCUAUAGCUCAGGUGGUUAGAGCGCACGCCUGAUAAGCGUGAGGUCGCUAGUUCAAUUCUAGCUAGGCCCA
rnacentral:tRNA from 1 species